UAUGAGUUUGUGCCAGAGAAAUGCAGGUGUUUUGCAUUGAGGCUAAUUACAGGAAUGUCUAUAUAUACACCCAAGUGUCCCUUCAUUCUGUUUGCUUGUUUUGAAGAAAGUCUUUGACAAGAAGCUUGUAUAUUAUUGAAUGAGGAGCAAAUUGAGUUUCAGUGGGGCGUACAUUGUUGCAUCCACAUGUGAUUGUCCCUCCAGCACCUAACAAAGCCUCUCAGCCAGGCUGCCCUGGUGCUUUAAACAAUGCUGUGUCUGUAGACUGGGCUUUUACAGUUAACCUCAGUUAUCAGGGAGAUAAAUCUAUGUUGUGUCCGGAUCGGAGCUGAUGAAGUUGAGAGAUGACACACUGAAGGUGCAGAGGCCUCAAUGGAGCUGAGAAUUGGUAAUUUAACACUCGCGUUAGGCCUGUCGGACUCCACUGCAACCAACCAACCACCGGAAAAAAGAGGCACCAGAGACUCCAGGUGAUAACUGAUGGGGGCAGUCCUUGCAGAAGAGUACAUGGACCUGCCCAGCUCAGCUACGAGGG